UACGUAGGGUGCGAGCGUUGUCCGGAUUUAUUGGGCGUAAAGGGCUCGUAGGCGGCGUGUCGCGUCGGGAGUGAAAGCCCGUUGCUUAACGGCGGGUUGGCUUUCGGUACGGGCAUGCUGGAGUGCGGCAGGGGAGACUGGAAUUCCUGGUGUAGCGGUGGAAUGCGCAGAUAUCGGAAGGAACGCCGGUGGCGAAAGCGACGGACUGGAUCUCUUCUGACGCUGAGGCGCGAAAGCUAGGGGAGCAAACGGG
rnacentral:rRNA from 1 species